GGUACAUUGGUGGUUGAAGAUAUCCCUCUAGUGGUGUGGGGGCUGUGCUUUGGCAAAGUGGGUGGGGUUUUAUCCUGCCUGAUUUGCCCUUUCCGUGGGUAUCGUCAGACGGGGCCACAGUGUCUCUCUACCCCUCCUGUCUCAGCCUCCAGUAUUUAUGCUGCAGUAGUUUAUGUGUCGGGGGGCUAGGGUCAGUCUGUUAUAUCUGGAGUAUUUCUCCUGUCUUAUCCGGUGUCCUGUGUGAAUUUAAGUAUGCUCUCUAAUUCUCUUUCUCUCGGGAGACCUGCGCCCUAGGGCCAUGCAUCAGGACUACCUGGCCUGAUGACUCCUUGCUGUCCCCAGUCCACCUGGCCGUGCUGCUGCUCCAGUUUCAACUGUUCUGCCUCUGGCUCUGGCUGUGGGACCCUGACCUGUUCUCCGGACAUGCUACCCGUCCCAGACCUGCUGUUUUCAACUCUCUAGAGACAGCAGGAGGGAUAGAGAUACUCUCAAUGAUCAGCUAUGAAAAGCCAACUGACAUUUACUCCUGAGGUGCUGUCCUGUUGCACCCUCGACAACCUCUGUGAUUAUUAUUAUUUGACCCCGCUGGUCAUCUAUGAACAUUUGAACAUCUUGGCCAUGUUCUGUUAUAAUCUCCACCCGGCACAGCCAGACUGACCACCCCUCAUAGCCUGGUUCCUCUCUAGGUUUCUUCCUAGGUUCUGGCCUUUCUAGGGAGUUUUUCCUAGCCACCAUGCUUCUACACCUGCAUUGCUUGCUGUUUGGGGUUUUAGGCUGGGUUUCUGUAUGGCACUUUGAGAUAUCAGCUGAUGUAAGAAGGGCUAUAUGAAGACAUUUGAUUUAUAGUGCGAUUAAUGUAUUGUUUAGUGUUGUGUUGUGUAAUGGCUUUGCUGGCAUGUAUCUAAAAAAAAUGGGGAGUUUGCCCCACAUGAUUUACAUGCUAAAAUCACCACUGAUGGGCAGUGAAACAUGACAGUUCGUGGCUGUUUCUCAGGAACCUACCAAUAACAGAGGUUAGAAUUUUAUAUCAUACCCCCAAGACAUGCUAACCUCUCACCAUUACCAAUAACAGGGGAGGUUAGCAUUUUAUAUCAUACCCCCAAGACAUGCUAACCUCUCACCAUUACCAAUAACAGGGGAGGUUAGCAUUUUAUAUCAUACCCCCGAGACAUGCUAACCUCUCACCAUUACCAAUAACAGGGGAGGUUAGCAUUUUAUAUCAUACCCCCGAGACAUGCUAACCUCUCACCAUUACCAAUAACAGGGGAGGUUAGCAUUUUAUAUCAUACCCCCGAGACAUGCUAACCUCUCACCAUUACCAAAAACGGGGGAGGUUAGAAUUUUAUAUCAUACCCCCAAGACAUGCCAACCUCUCACCAUUACCAAUAACAGGGGAGGUUAGCAUUUUAUAUCAUACCCCCAAGACAUGCUAACCUCUCACCAUUACAAUAACAGGGGAGGUUAGCAUUUCUCUUUCACACUCUUCAUGAUUAAUUAAUUCAUGAUUAUCCAUAAAUGUGGUUGAAUCCACGUUAAUGACGCAGUGUUUAGAAACACAUUCUAAUUACAAUAAACGUGACUUCAAAAUAACACACUACAUUAUUUACAUUUCUAUUGGGCAAAAUAAUCUUAAAAACACAACCAAAACAAACUGCAACUGCAUCCAACAGUAUUUUUUUCAACGGUUCACCCGAUUUGGAUGAAAUCACAAAGUACUGGAAUACAGAGCCAAAACAACAAAACAUGUCACUGUCCAAAUACCUUUGGACCUCACUAUAUUUGUCUAUUUGUUUAUUAACCAUGUAUGACCAAUAUGUUUGUUGUAGGACCAUGUCUGAGGUAUUGACCAUGUGUGGAGUUUUUCCUGUAUUUGACCUGUGUCUCUCUCUCUGUCAGGUGGAGGUGUUGUAGAUCGUAGAGAUGGGUAUCUCAGGCAGCAAGUCUAAACAAGAGCAGGAGGUGAGGCACAAGGGAGGGAAGGAGCACAUCCCGGCCUCCAAUAGGGUUAAGGAUGCAGCCGAGGCCACCCUCUCCUGUAUCAUCCAGGUCCUGGGGGCCUUCCCCUCCCCCAGUGGCCCAGCCUCCACCUGCAGCCUGCUGAACGAGGAUACCCCCGAUACGCUACGCCCGCCUCAAAGCCACGGGACCCAGAAACCUCCGCUACUUUGUCCUGGACAACUCAGUCAUCCUGGCCAUGCUGGAGCAUCCGUUGGGCAAUGAGCAGAAACCCCGGCCCGUCAGUGGCUUUCCUGAUCCGAGGGCGUGCCUGGCCGACACACCUGGACCAUGCAGCUCUUCCACCAGCCCAGAGGAGCACGGGCAACCAGAGGGGGAGACCAGUUAGUUGGCCCACUGGUCCACCUUAGUCUGUCUGUGAGGCAGGUGUUUGUCCCAGAGGGCAGCCCAGUGUCCAAGGAUGACGUGGGAAUCCGCUACAACGUCAAGCAGAGGCCCUUCCCAGAGGAGGUGGGCAAGAUCCCCCUGGUCAAAGCUGACGUCUGCAUUCCAGACCUGGACGACAUAGUCAACAAGGAGGUGUGAGCGACAAUGUUGACCGCCACCAUGACCCCAAUAGACUCUUGAUUAUCCUAGUCUUCUCAUAUCCUCUCUUACAUGACCAAUGAUAUGAAAGUACCUUGAUAACAUGUUCAUCUUAUUUCUCUCACCUAUCCAGUUUUUUUCUACUAUCCAUGAUCAUAAAGGAAAGAAUGCAGGGACAGGAGGGUCAAAGUAGUUUAGCAUAUUGGAACGCAGCUCUUAUCACUGUCCAAAUUGAAUGUAAACUUAUUCUAAAGUGAAUGACUUUUGGACAAAACCCUAGAUGUGGAGAAUAAAGAGAGUAAAAUGAUAAUGUUACCCACGCUUAUGGAGACAGACCAGCUACUAUGGUACAUUCUUAUUGAUGUGGAAUCAAGUGUCGUCUAUGAACUGGCAGGAUGAAGUGUGUGUGCCAUGCAUACUGAAAUAUAAUCACCCACGCAGGAGUUGUCCCAUCCUUUCGGAGACGGACAGGUCAAAGGUCAACCAGAUCUGGCACCUCCAUGUCUCUUUCGUUUUUUUGUCAAACUUUUUAUUGCAGCUUUGUCUUUGUUCAUUUUAUAGUUUUUAUUUUUCUAUACUGUGUCUUGUCUUUCUGUUAGUUGUUAUAAAAACCACGUGCAACCUACAGUACAUUACAUAUUGAGAUAAACGUUUCCUUUGUUAUUCAUUUUGUCCAGAGUUGUCUCAUUCACUUGUAGCUGAGAUUUAAAAAAUAAAUAAAUUUGGAUUCCAUGGAGUAUACUCA